rnacentral:lncRNA from 1 species
GCAGCAUCCACAGGAGGGGUGUCAUCCCUCGCACCAGGAACCUGGUUGUUACCAAGGUAUUUUGCUCCACCAUAUUCUUCAUUUUGCCAGUGACAAAAGCUCUCCAGAGACCUCUCUCCAUGAUGCCCAAUAGACAACUUGGCAGGUCGACUGCGAAGUAGGACUAGUUUUGUCACUCGAAUGCUGACUUUAAUUCCAAGGCUUUGAUGUUGAAACAUGUUGUACACCAUAUUCAUAACUGUGAGGAUGAAUCUUUGGGCAGCCUCUGCACCAUGGUAUUGGACCAUAUCAGCAUCUGCCACCACCAAAGUUUCUACUGUGUACUCAUUGGUAAGCCGAAUAGCAUUUCUUCUCUCCCUCCAGUCACUGGUUGAUUUCAUCUUCUUUUGCCUCUUCUUUUCUGUGAGAUCACCAUGGAAGUCAACUCAAAACUCA